rnacentral:rRNA from 1 species
GGUAGUAGCAAAUAUUCAAAUGAGAGCUUUGAAGACCGAAGUGGAGAAAGGUUCUAUGUGAACAGCAGUUGGACAUGGGUUAGUCGAUCCUAAGAGAUAGGGAAAUUCCGUUCGAAAGCGCCCGAUCUUGGGCCGCCUAUCGAAAGGGAAUCGGGGUAAUAUUCCCGAACCGGGACGCGGAUAUUGCCGUUCGCGGCAGAUGCGGUAACGCAAACGAACCCGAAGACGCUGGCGGGGGCCCUGGGAAGAGUUCUCUUUUCUUUUUAACGAGCUUUCACCCUGAAAUCAGCUUGCCUGGAGAUAGGGUUUAAUGCUCGGUAAAGCACCACACUUCUUGUGGUGUCCGGUGCGCUCUCGACGGCCCUUGAAAAUUCGGGGAAGACAUUGAUUUUCGUGUCCGGUCGUACUCAUAACCGCAGCAGGUCUCCAAGGUGAGCAGCCUCUGGUU